ACCCGCUGAACUUAAGCAUAUCAAUAAGCGGAGGAAAAGAAACUAACAAGGAUUCCCCUAGUAACUGCGAGUGAAGCGGGAAAAGCUCAAAUUUAAAAUCUGGCGGUCUUUGGCCGUCCGAGUUGUAAUCUAGAGAAGUAAUGCCCGUGCUGGACCGUGUAUAAGUCUCCUGGGAUGGGGCGUCAUAGAGGGUGAGAAUCCCGUCUUUGACACGGACUACCAGUGCAUUGUGGUAUGCUCUCAAAGAGUCGAGUUGUUUGGGAAUGCAGCUCAAAAUGGGUGGUAAAUUCCAUCUAAAGCUAAAUAUUGGCGAGAGACCGAUAGCGAACAAGUACCGUGAGGGAAAGAUGAAAAGAACUUUGGAAAGAGAGUUAAACAGUACGUGAAAUUGCUGAAAGGGAAACGCUUGAAGUCAGUCGCGUUGGCCGGGGAUCAGCCUUGCUUUUGCAUGGUGUACUUUCUGGUUGACGGGUCAGCAUCAAUUUUGACCGCUGGAAAAGGGCCUGGGGAAUGUGGCAGCUUCGGCUGUGUUAUAGCCUCUGGUCACAUACGGCGGUUGGGAUUGAGGAACUCAGCACGCCGCAAGGCCGGGUUUCGACCACGUUCGUGCUUAGGAUGCUGGCAUAAUGGCUUUAAGCGACCCGUCUUGAAACACGGA
rnacentral:rRNA from 1 species